AUGGAUCUGCAAGUAUCAAUGAGCUGAUGGCUGUGGGCAGGUACUGCAGACAAUUAUUCUCCAUAUGCAGUUCCUUCAGAUUCUGGAAAAUACGUGUGCAGAAGGUUUAGUAAGUAAAGGAUUUUUCCUUAGCUUGGUAUAUAAACAAUGUACAGAGAAUAUUAGCAAGUGCAGAAGUUUAUAAACUGUGAAAUUGUUGGGAUUAUUGCUAAACACAGAGAGGCAACAUGAGUUUUAAACACUGAUUUCUGAUAUUAUUCCUAUUCUGACAGCCCAGGCCUGGUGCUGCACCAUGUACCUAAAGAGAUUAAGAGACCCUUCAGUCCUGCAUUUGGAAGCAGCUGAAGUUCAUGGAAUUUCCAUGUUGCAGCAAACCAAGAUCUUCCCCCUUCUCUUGCUCCUGCCUGCAAUUUAUUGAUGACUUCUGGCAGAGUUCUGAAUUUAAUUCCUUUAUCUUAUCCCAGUUAUAAUCUCUGUAAUGACUCCAGGAGAAAGACUUCCUCUGGAAAGAUACUGAAUUGGUUUCCAGGCAGGCUAAGGCAUUUAAAACUUAUCAGUUCCUUCACCUCCAGAGGUAUCUAGACACAGUCAUUAAAAAGAUACAUUAUGUCAAUUAAGCAGUAAUCUUUGGGAUUUUGUUUUUAGAGGAAAAAAAUCUCCCAAGAAAAUGCUGUGGAGCUGCAUUACGGUUGAUGGAUGAACACAGAAUAUUCUGCUCAUUAAUGUCACAUUAUACCUCACAGUAUGGUGGAAAUUUUGGCAAAGAAAUCCAUGUUGUUUCCUCUGCUGGAAAGAUUUCUUAUGGGGUUAAUUUUAUUUCUUAGCAGAAACAUUAGUCUGCUUCUUCAUUUCCUUUGUGUGCACAGUGCAGGGGAGAGCAAUUUAAAUGAAUGAAAUCUGAAAGUGAGUCUUUUGCAUAAAUUACUACUUUGGUGAAUGUAACUUUCAAGAAGAAAAUUGCACCAGUGAAAAAAUCCUUCUUAAAGAAGUGUUGCAUUGUAUAAAAAGGAAGGUGUAUUCUGAGCCCUACAAUGGGGAUGUCCAUGAAUACUGAUACACUUAUCAUAGCACAGCUUUAGGGUGCAUAAUUGUUCAUGAUCAAACGAAUAGCAAGUGUCAGUGGAGUUAAAGGCAUUAAUAAUAUCACAUCCAUUUUUAAAUUGUCCUCUGUUCAGUUUGCGAUAUUGAUUCUAUGCAAAUGCAGCUCUGAUUUUCUAGUGCACACAGAAAAAAAAAAAAAAAGAUGCAAAAAGCUGCAGCAGUUCCUCCAGUCAGUGUUUCAUCUUUUGAUUCAACACAAAGGUCAGUGUUUCCACAUUUUUGCCUUUUCCUCCCUGCCUGAGAGCUGAGAUGUCAGUGAUAAUGAGUAACCCAGGCUCAGGUGUGUGCUGGGUGGAACUGCCUUCUCACUGUAGCAAGGAAAGGAGGCACUUGGAAUGCUAUUAAAGCAGUUUUCACUCAGAUCUAGUAUCCUGACACUGGUUAAUCUGGUGAAGGACCCAGGUACAGUGCGUAGUCCCACAAAAACAUGGGAAAGGGAAGGCCAGCAGCAGAUGCGGUGUGAAAAAUCCUCCAGGCUGCUCAGACAGUGAGCUCUCUCAUUUCAGGGAUGUUCCUCAAACCUGGGAGAAGCUUUUGGGGGAAGCUGGGCUCCAUUUCCCCUACACGGGUCUGCCUCGGGUGGGUGGAGCCCACGCCCUCCUGCUCACAUGGGCAGCAGUGGAGGCACGGGGGGAAUUUAUUUGCUGGAAGGGGCCAGCACAAGCAUCUUUGAAGUAGGGACCGAUCCGUGUAGCCACGAGCGGUUCUGCAAAGGCUCCUCGGAGGAGGGCAGAGCACCAACUCCAUGCUCUGGGGGUGAGGUGACGAACCUCCCCUGCCCUUCCCGCAGGUCUGAGCACCACUGGCAUAGCCCAGCACCCACAGGGGCUCGGGGGGCUCCUGCAGGGCCCGGGGCUGCACAGAGCAACCCCCGCCCGCCCCUCCGGCUGCGGGCCGGGACCUCCUUGGAAACGGGCUCCGUUACCAAACAUUGUUCCCCUCGGAGCAGCCUAGUUACCAAAUUUACUCAGCGCGGGGCAGCGCUCGCCCUUGGCCGGUCCCCGCAGGUUGAUGCGGGGAGAAGGAGCAGGAGGUCAUGGCUCAGGUAAGGCCUGCAGGGCUGGGGGUUCAUCUGCUGUACAGGGACCACUCCUCUGUUAGCUCAGCUCCUGUGCCACAGCAGGUCAGAAACACCCACCAAUCCACGCUUUCCCCUCAUGCUUUUCCUGCCUGUAUCUGUUGCCCCAGUGCUGCAUACCGAGAGUUGUAACCCUUUGCAGACCGAGCCCAUUUUUACUGUUAUGCAGAUCCCGGCACAAAGCCCGCUGCUGGUGCUGUUGCUAAGCUGCCGUAACGAUGCAGUAACGCUUUGUUUUGUUUUCCGGCAGUACACGUCGGUUCGCCCAGAUCUUCACCUGCACUAUGUGCAGGCCUGUCAAAAAUCGAGCCAGCCUGAAAACCCCUUCGUUGCUCAUGUGCUUCAAGAAGCUGACAAAAAUGAUGAAAUUAGAUGUACGAAAGGGAUCACAUUAAAAAUAGCUGGAAAUAAUCACCCAGUGCCUGUGCAGAGAGUUACAGAUGAUGAUCUUGGAGUUCUUGCCUCUGUCUUACGCCACGCUGCAUUUGUCAAAGGUUUGGAUCUUGCUUAUAAUGUAUUGACUGAUGCUGGAGCAAAGACCGUGGCAACAUUCCUCCAGGAGAACUCCUCUCUGCAGUACCUGAACCUCAUGUUUAAUGACGUUGGCACAAGUGGGGCAGAGCUGAUAGCGGGAGCACUUCAUAGGAAUAGAAGUCUUGUGCACAUGAGAAUGACUGGAAACAAAAUAGGAAACCAAGGUGGGAUGUUCUUUGCUUCAAUGCUGCAAAGUAACUCAACCUUGCAGAAAUUGGAUCUUGGAGACUGUGAUCUGGGCCUGAAGUGUCUGAUAGCAAUAGCCACAGCCCUGACUCAGAACAAAUCCCUCAGAGCAAUAAACCUAAAUCGUCCCUUGCUGUACAGCCAAGAGGAAGAGACCACAGUCCAUAUAGCUAAGAUGUUGAAGGGCAACUCUUCUCUCGUGGAGCUGCACUUGAGCAAGCAUGAAAUGAAAAACUUUGGUGUAGAGCGACUGUGUGAGGCCCUGUAUGAAAACUCCAGCCUGAGAUACCUUGACCUCAGCUGUAAUAAAAUAACCUCCGAUGGUGUAAAAUUUUUGGGAGAGCUGCUAAAACGGAACCAAAGCCUGGUAAUCCUGGAUCUGAAUGCAAACAGAAUAGAAGAUGCUGGAGCCACGUACCUGAGUGAAGCCUUGUCUGUGCACAACAGGACUCUGCAGGCGUUGUCAGUAGUAAGCUGCAGUAUAAGUGGCAAAGGUCUUACAGCUCUUUCAAAUGCAAUCAAAGCAAACAUGAUACUUUCCUAUAUAUACAUCUGGGGGAACACAUUUGAUGAAGAUGCUUGUAUGAAGUGACUCCAUUUAUGCUCCUAAAUAGAAAAAGUCACCAAACAGAGUCAUGGAUUAUCCUGCUCUCCUAUCUAUGAGAUCCAAGUAUGAGGAGAAAAAGGAAGGACAGAGCAAUGAGAACAAAAGUUGAGGAUACACUGGACGUGGUUGUUUGAGAAGAAUCUGCAUGCUGUGAACAUUUCUAAGUUUUUAAACAAUUAGAUAAGCCUGUAUUGGUAUUUUCCCAGUGUUGCUGCUCUGGGACAUAGCAGGCUACACUCUGAUAGUCUACAGAGAGGCCUCUCAGUACUGAGAUACUGGUGACAGAAUUUCUUGUCAGAAACACCACUAAAAGACUCAGAUUAAGAAAUGACCAAUACUGUUAUGAGCCUUGUACCUCCCAAAUGAACCCAGAAUCCCUAAGCCUAGGACUUCAGAUGUGCAGCUGAUUUCCAUGCAUCUAUUGGCAAAAGGUACAGUCCAGACCCACAGCCUGAACACACCUACAAAUAUAUUUAUAAAUAUAUAUACUUAAAAUCUAUAUUCUAGUAAAUGAAUACAGUUUGUAGAGAUCAUACCUCAGCAGCUGAGAUAUCUUCACGAAAAAUGAGGCUAAAAAUCAAGAUUCUCAGAUGGGGACUCAAGAGUGCAGGUCACUAAAUUAUUGCUCCAAGACAAAACUACA